rnacentral:rRNA from 1 species
UCGACGAGGUAGCAAUACCUAGUGGCAGACGGGUGAGUAACACGUGGUCAACCUACCUUCGAGUGGGGGAUAACUAGCCGAAAGGUUAGCUAAUACCGCAUAAAACGUGCCGGGGCAUCCCGGAACGUUAAAACGAGCAAUCGGCUUGAAGACGGGACCGCGUCCCAUUAGUUAGUUGGUGGGGUAACGGCCUACCAAGACUCCGAUGGGUAGCUGGUUUGAGAGAGCGACCAGCCACACUGGGACUGAGAAACG